rnacentral:rRNA from 1 species
UACGAAGGGGGCUAGCGUUGUUCGGAAUUACUGGGCGUAAAGCGCGCGCAGGCGGUCCUUCAAGUCAGAGGUGAAAGCCCAGAGCUCAACUCUGGAAUGGCCUUUGAGACUAGAGGACUUGGGUACGGGAGAGGUGAGUGGAAUUCCGAGUGUAGAGGUGAAAUUCGUAGAUAUUCGGAAGAACACCAGUGGCGAAGGCGGCAUCCUGGACCGAUACUGACGCUGAGGAGCGAAAGCCAGGGGAGCAAACGGG